GUCGAGCGGUAGCACAGAGAGCUUGCUCUCGGGUGACGAGCGGCGGACGGGUGAGUAAUGUCUGGGAAACUGCCUGAUGGAGGGGGAUAACUACUGGAAACGGUAGCUAAUACCGCAUAACGUCGCAAGACCAAAGAGGGGGACCUUCGGGCCUCUUGCCAUCAGAUGUGCCCAGAUGGGAUUAGCUAGUAGGUGGGGUAAUGGCUCACCUAGGCGACGAUCCCUAGCUGGUCUGAGAGGAUGACCAGCCACACUGGAACUGAGACACGGUCCAGACUCCUACGGGAGGCAGCAGUGGGGAAUAUUGCACAAUGGGCGCAAGCCUGAUGCAGCCAUGCCGCGUGUAUGAAGAAGGCCUUCGGGUUGUAAAGUACUUUCAGCGAGGAGGAAGGCAUUGUGGUUAAUAACCACAGUGAUUGACGUUACUCGCAGAAGAAGCACCGGCUAACUCCGUGCCAGCAGCCGCGGUAAUACGGAGGGUGCAAGCGUUAAUCGGAAUUACUGGGCGUAAAGCGCACGCAGGCGGUCUGUCAAGUCGGAUGUGAAAUCCCCGGGCUCAACCUGGGAACUGCAUUCGAAACUGGCAGGCUAGAGUCUUGUAGAGGGGGGUAGAAUUCCAGGUGUAGCGGUGAAAUGCGUAGAGAUCUGGAGGAAUACCGGUGGCGAAGGCGGCCCCCUGGA
rnacentral:rRNA from 1 species